AAUUUUCCCGGAAAAGUAUGUUAUUGCAACAAUUCCUCCUUAUUUUUUUUUUUGUCAUCACAGUGUUUAUUCCAUUAUCUGUUUGUUUUUACUGCUGAAUCUUAGUUUGGCACAGAGUCUCAUAGGUCUAAAAAGGGUUUCUAAAAAGCCAUCAACAUUUUGAAGCAUACACAAAUUGCCAGGGGAUUUUAUUUUUGGCUUUUUGAGUAGCCUUGUGUUUUUGGAUUUUUAACAGCAAUGAGAAAUUCUCUCUCAAACAACAACAUUCUGAAAUGACGUUUCAGGUUCUGCGGCUUCAGUCCACUCUUUUAUGAUGUGGGAAAUGCCCUGCCUCUGAACUGUGCAAGGGACACGUCAUUCCCCACAAAUCUUCUUUUUAGCAGAAAGGAGUAAACACCUAUGAGGUCCUGAGGGUGUGUUUUUAAAACAGCAUCCGGUGCUCUCAAGGAUUGCAACAAAGCUGGCUGAGGAGUCAGCAGUGAGAAAACACCAGGUGAGGAGAGAGUUGAGAUGGGGAAGGAUGAGAAACUUGGAGUAGCAGCAUGGAGCAAAGGAAAACUUUCAGCUUUAUUCUCCAGCUGCACUGAAAUUUGUUAGAUUGCUGACUAAGACUCCCGGGGAGAUUGUAGGAGUCGCAGAGGGUGAGUGGUAAACAUGGACAUGAACAAAGCGCUGUGAAAUAUGCUGCUUGUCAGCAACCUUCCCAUUAUGUAAUGGAGAUGAGGUAGGUGGCCUGAGCCAAAAACAUCUGUGAAGCAUCUCUUGAGGCAGACCAAGAGCAGGAGGUGGGUGACAACACCUCCUCUCCCUCUUGUUUCUCUAGUUCCUUCUGUCUUGCCCUUUUCCUUUUCCCUUUUCCCUCUGCUCCCACGACUCCCUUCUCUACUCCCUACUCUCCCCCAAAAGACCCCCUCAAGCAGCUAUCCAUGUGCAUUGCAAACCUUUAAAAAGAAGCUUGAUAGCAUGACAGUCUGGAUGGUCUCCACUGGACAGUCUCCACUGUGAUGGAGAUAUUGAGAUCAUAGAAUCAUAGAAUAGUUACCUCUAAGACCAUCUAGUGCAACCAUCAGCCCAUCCCCACCAUGCUGACUAAUCCAUGUCCUUCAGCAUCACAUCCAUACAGCUCUUGAACACCUCCAGGGAUGGUGAGAUAGAUGCCUUCAGUCUUCCAUCAGAAAUUUGGUUCCAUGUGAUGCAGACACCUGGAGAGCUUGGAAUUCAGGAAAGACAUCCUCCUUGCCCAUAAAGAACAAGGAAGAUACAGAGAAGAACAUUUUAAGAGUGACAUCAAAAUUUUCUCAUUCAGAGUUUCUCUGGGCCAGAUUCCUCUGAAGAAAUAUAGACAUCUACAUCUGGGCACCCUAGAUCUCCCAGAAUCAUCACAAAAGAUAAGUGCAACAAUAAGUGGUCUGAAAUACUUUCAAAAUUUGCCACAUAUUCCCGUUCACUGACUCAAUAGAGAAGUAACAGUGAUUAGUUCGUAUCUGAGUAAGUCUGUUGUAGAUAGCCAGGUGACAUGGUUCUUGCCUCUGUGCCUUGGUAUGCCCUGACAUCACUCUUCACCAGGGCUGCAGGCAGUGAACCCUAACGCUGCGCCAGCUUCAAUUGUUUAAUUUCCCUUUGCCUUUCAGUCUAUUUUUGGUUUGUGACUGAACUUUGUGACUUCUUCUGUGGCACUCCCCAUACACAGAGCAUUCCUCCAGUUGAGAUUUGACAAACAUCCUGAUUCUUAACACAGCUCAGAACACACCUGCUCUCCCAAACACUGAAGCUGUGGUAGCCUCACCCCAGCCAGGGCUGUUGUGUGGUGCCAUUGCCAGCAGGACUUCCUCUCGUUCAUAUUUAUCUGGUUCAUUAUUGCAAGGAGAUGCUAGAUCCCACUAGUAAGGUUAGGGUUGGGUGGUGUAGUUCUGUAUCCUUGUGGAAAGUUACAGUUUAGGUCAAGACUCUCUGAUUUCUAAUGAUGUUACUUAAUUUUGUAGAGCUGGCAGAACAAACUCCUGCUGAGGAUAACAAUACUUGAAGUUCAAGAGUGAAUCCAGACUUGGCAAAAGCAUCAAAUUCAGGCAGACUGUAGGAACAUCUGAUCUGACCUGGGAAAUGCCGGUUUGAGAUAAGCACAGGUGGUGAGAUGCUGUAGUAAAAGCUAUAAUACCAAAGAAGAAUGGUUCUCUGCAAACAUGGCUGGAAGAUGAGGAUUUCCUAGCGUUGACACCAGUGACUCCUAAACAUCACCGUUAAAGGAUCUCUUUAUCAGCCCUCUCCCACAGGCUUCUAAAGGAGAAAGUCAUACAAGCAACAGGAAAGAGCUCUAACACAUGAAGAAAGAAGUGAUGACAUUAAAAAUUAAAAUUCAUCUGUUGAUGAGAAUGAGCUGCAGAACCAGGAGAACUUCCUCUUCUAGUCAUGGAGUGAGACGAUGAAGUAAAUCCAAGUUCUUGAAAGUUAAAGUGACCUGGGCAAUUCAAUUGCUUCAUUUUCAAGAAUGUGUCAUUUAAAAAUAAAUAUGUUUUAGA